rnacentral:lncRNA from 1 species
UUCUAAUUCUUUUGUUUCUUUUUUCAGGUCAAAUAAAAAACUUUCUCUAGUCGAACAACUUGAAUACAAUCUUGGUUCGCUGCCUGCUAUUAGAUAAUGAAUUGAAAGCAGACACGCUGUGUAUAUGACUUAUACAGUAUGUAGCGUUAUUCCACAACAGUGAAAUUCAUAGCCCAAUAAAUGGUAAAUGAUAUCCUCUCGUUGACAUUACAUGAUAGAUGAAAAGCAAA